AUUGAACGCUGGCGGUAUGCUUAACACAUGCAAGUCGAACGGUAGCAGGCCUUCGGGCGCUGACGAGUGGCGGACGGGUGAGUAACGCGUAGGAAUCUGCCUGGUAGUGGGGGACAACGUGGGGAAACUCACGCUAAUACCGCAUACGCCCUACGGGGAAGAGGGAUCUUCGGACCUUUCGCUAUGAGAUGAGCCUGCGUUAGAUUAGCUAGUUGGUAGGGUAAAGGCCUACCAAGGCCACGAUCGGUAGCUGGUCUGAGAGGAUGAUCAGCCACACUGGGACUGAGACACGGCCCAGACUCCUACGGGUGGCAG
rnacentral:rRNA from 1 species